AGAGCGAACGCUGGCGGCAGGCCUAACACAUGCAAGUCGAGCGCCGUAACAAUACGGAGCGGCAGACGGGAGAGUAACACGUGGGAACGUGCCCUUUGGUUCGGAACAACACAGGGAAACUUGUGCUAAAUACCGGAUAAGCCCUUACGGGGAAAGAUUUAUCGCCAAAGGAUCGGCCCGCGUCUGAUUAGCUAGUUGGUGAGGUAACGGCUCACCAAGGCGACGAUCAGUAGCUGGUCUGAGAGGAUGAUCAGCCUCACUGGGACUGAGACACGGCCCAGACUCCUACGGGAGGCAGCAGUGGGGAAUAUUGGACAAUGGGCGCAAGCCUGAUCCAGCCAUGCCGCGUGGAUGAUGAAGGCCCUAGGGUUGUAAAGCUCUUUGUGCGGGAAGAUAAUGACGGUACCGCAAGAAUAAGCCCGGCUAACUUCGCGCCAGCAGCCGC
rnacentral:rRNA from 1 species